AAUGUCAACUGAUGAAAUUAACCCAAAUCUCUGAACUUUGUACAGAUGCUGGGUUUGGAUAAACUUCAAGAGGAAAUUCUUCCAGGAGAUUUUAUGAGGAUGCGAUCCUUUCAUCAAUGAAGUUAUUCUCACGGAGAAUCUUCCCAUGCUCCUAUAAUCCUGAGGAAGAAGAGAAAUGGAGGUGGAGCGAAUGGCAGCCCGUUAAGGAGUUGAAGUGCUGUCAGAUGGGAGGCCUGCUCAUGCUGGGGGACUCCAAAAGGCAGGAAGACGGUUGAAGGGGAGAAGAUGAGUGGAGGAGGGGUGGGCAGGAUUGAACAACCAGAACCACCUGCUGCUGCAAUGCCUCCAAGGUGGUGAGGAUACCUCCAUGGAAGUGUUGACACAGACUCUGAUGACCGUUUAUCAGGAAUAUUAUAGCAGCUCUGUUCUUCCGAAUUUGUAAAAUGAGGAUAUUAAUUCUAAUUUAUCAGCUCCCAGGGCAGGAAUUUGAUCCAGCUAAGUCUGAAGAGACUUGUUUGCUGGUUUUCCAGCAUCUGUAAAGUGCUAGUUGCAAUGGUUUCCAAACUUCACUGCAGAGUAAAAGUAACUGGGAAACUUGGAAACAUCUAGAUGCGUAGGCCACAUCUGCAGAGAUUCUGGUUUAAUUGGUGUGGGGUAUGGCGUAAGUAUUAGGAUUUUUUUCAGAUCUCUCCAAGUGACUGGAUUGUACAGAUACUUUGAGAAUCACUGUGCUAGUAAGAAAUUAGAAUUCUGGAUUUUGGUCUGGAAUCUGAUUUAACCAGAGAUGGAACAUUGAGCAGCUUCUCUACCUUCUCUUGGCUCUACAUUUCUUACUUAUUAAAAGGAAGUGGGAUGGGAAGGGUAUGUGCUUUGGUGAGUGCUGUGAAGUGUGUAAACCUGGUGAUUCACAGACCUGUACCCCUGGGGAUAAAAAUAUAUGUUUAUAAAAAAUAAAAAAUU
rnacentral:lncRNA from 1 species